AUUGAACGCUGGCGGCAUGCCUUACACAUGCAAGUCGAACGGCAGCGGACCUUCGGGUGCCGGCGAGUGGCGAACGGGUGAGUAAUAUAUCGGAACGUACCUUUCAGUGGGGGAUAACGUAGCGAAAGUUACGCUAAUACCGCAUAUUCUGUGAGCAGGAAAGCAGGGGAUCGCAAGACCUUGCGCUGAUUGAGCGGCCGAUAUCAGAUUAGCUAGUUGGUGAGGUAAAGGCUCACCAAGGCGACGAUCUGUAGCGGGUCUGAGAGGAUGAUCCGCCACACUGGAACUGAGACACGGUCCAGACUCCUACGGGAGGCAGCAGUGGGGAAUUUUGGACAAUGGGCGCAAGCCUGAUCCAGCCAUGCCGCGUGAGUGAAGAAGGCCUCGGUGUAAGUACGUCUUUCGGUCCGGGU
rnacentral:rRNA from 1 species